rnacentral:rRNA from 1 species
CUACGGGAGGCAGCAGUAGGGAAUAUUGCUUAAUGGGCGAAAGCCUGAAGCAGCAACGCCGCGUGUGCGAUGAAGGUCUUCGGAUUGUAAAGCACUUUUUGAGGGGAUGAGGAAGGACAGUACCCUCAGAAUAAGCCUCGGCUAACUACGUGCCAGCAGCCGCGGUAAAACGUAGGAGGCAAGCGUUAUCCGGAUUUACUGGGCGUAAAGCGCGUGCAGGCGGCGCGGUAAGUUGGAUGUGAAAGCUCCCGGCUUAACUGGGAGAGGUCGUGCAAUACUGCCGUGCUAGAGGAUGGGAGGGGAGGUGGAAUUCCGGGUGUAGUGGUGAAAUGCGUAGAUAUCCGGAGGAACACCAGUGGCGAAGGCGACCUCCUGGCCCAUUUCUGACGCUCAGACGCGAAAGCUAGGUGAGCGAACGGGAUUAGAUACCCGCGUAGUC